GAGAAAAAUUGAAGACAGUGAUUUCCAUCGGACUGGUAACGAGGAAGAAGAAGAUGAAGACCAUGAAGAAGAAGAUCUGUCGCGGCGGUCCUAGUUCCCUUCGAGUGGACCUUUUCCACCAUUUUUCUGCAUCUUGUUCUAUUUUUUCUUUAACUACGAUAACCCAAUCAAGAAAACUCAAUCAUUUCAGUCUGAAACCUUUUUUUUUCCAUUUAGUGUUCAUAUAUAGCAUUUUCUUCAUUGUAUAAUUUAUAUUUCAGGUUCAAUGUGAUCAUUUUGAAGACUUCUUUUUUGCAUUUGAGCUGGAUAAAUAUGUCUAUGAAGCCUUGUUCAAAAGGAAAACAGCAGAGGUUGGUUAAAUCAUCUAUUGAGUUGGCCUAAAAUCUUUCUGUCAUUUACGAUGCUAUUGUUUUGUGCAGGUUUUCAG
rnacentral:lncRNA from 1 species